rnacentral:rRNA from 1 species
UACGCAGGUGGCAAGCGUUGUCCGGAAUUAUUGGGCGUAAAGCGCGCGCAGGCGGUUAUGUAAGCCUGAUGUUAAAGCCCGGGGCUCAACCUCGGUUCGCAUUGGAAACUGUGUAACUUGAGUGCAGAAGAGGCAAGUGGUAUUCCACGUGUAGCGGUGAAAUGCGUAGAUAUGUGGAGGAACACCAGUGGCGAAGGCGACUUUCUGGUCUGUAACUGACGCUGAGGCGCGAAAGCGUGGGGUGCAAACAGG